AUUGAACGCUGGCGGCAUGCCUUACACAUGCAAGUCGAACGGUAACGGACCUUCGGGUGCCGACGAGUGGCGCACGGGUGAGUAAUACAUCGGAACGUGCCCGAUCGUGGGGGAUAACGAGGCGAAAGCUUUGCUAAUACCGCAUACGAUCUACGGAUGAAAGCAGGGGACCGCAAGGCCUUGCGCGGACGGAGCGGCCGAUGGCAGAUUAGGUAGUUGGUGGGAUAAAAGCUUACCAAGCCGACGAUCUGUAGCUGGUCUGAGAGGAUGAUCAGCCACACUGGGACUGAGACACGGCCCAGACUCCUACGGGAGGCAGCAGUGGGGAAUUUUGGACAAUGGGCGCAAGCCUGAUCCAGCCAUGCCGCGUGCAGGAUGAAGGCCUUCGGGUUGUAAACUGCUUUUGUACGGAACGAAAAGCCUUCUUUUAAUACAGGAGGGUCAUGACGGUACCGUAAGAAUAAGCACCGGCUAACUACGUG
rnacentral:rRNA from 1 species